GAUAAACGCUGGCGGCGCACAUAAGACAUGCAAGUCGAACGGAAGUCGUCUUACGACUGAAGAAGAAAUGGAAAUAGAUUUAUCUAAAGAAAUGGAAAAAGAAGAAAUAAGACAAAUGGCUUUAGUGGCGGACUGGUGAGUAACACGUAAGUAACCUACCUAUUAGAGGGGAAUAACAGUGAGAAAUCACUGCUAAUACCGCAUAGUUUAGCAAUAUCACAAGGUAAAGCUAAUAAAGGAGUAAUCCGCUAAUAGAUGGGCUUGCGGCUGAUUAGCUAGUUGGUGAGAUAACAGCCCACCAAGGCAACGAUCAGUAGCCGGACUGAGAGGUUGAACGGCCACAUUGGGACUGAGAUACGGCCCAGACUCCUACGGGAGGCAGCAGUCGGGAAUAUUGCGCAAUGGAGGGAACUCUGACGCAGUGACGCCGCGUAUAGGAAGAAGGUUUUAGGAUUGUAAACUAUUUUAGUCAGGGAAGAAGAAGACGGUACCUGAAGAAUAAGCUCCGGCUAACUACGUGCCAGCAGCCGCGGUAAUACGUAGGGAGCGAGCGUUAUCCGGAAUUAUUGGGUGUAAAGGGUGCGUAGACGGGAAAUUAAGUUAGUUGUGAAAUACCUAGGCUCAACCUAGGCCGUGCAACUAAAACUGAUAUUCUUGAGUGCUGGAGAGGUAAGCGGAAUUCCUAGUGUAGCGGUGAAAUGCGUAGAUAUUAGGAGGAACACCAGUGGCGAAGGCGGCUUACUGGACAGUAACUGACGUUGAGGCACGAAAGUGUGGGGAGCAAACAGGAUUAGAUACCCUGGUAGUCCACACCGUAAACGAUGGAUACUAGGUGUAGGGGAUUAUAUGUCCUCUGUGCCGAAAGCAAACGCAAUAAGUAUCCCACCUGGGGAGUACGACCGCAAGGUUGAAACUCAAAGGAAUUGACGGGGGCCCGCACAAGCAGUGGAGUAUGUGGUUUAAUUCGAAGCAACGCGAAGAACCUUACCAGGGCUUGACAUAUACUUGAAUAUUAGGGAAACUUAAUAGCUUUUCGGAGCAAGUAUACAGGUGGUGCAUGAUUGUCGUCAGCUCGUGUCGUGAGAUGUUGGGUUAAGUCCCGCAACGAGCGCAACCCCUGUUUCUAGUUACCAGCACAUAAAGGUGGGGACUCUAGAGAGACUGCCGGUGAAAAAUCGGAGGAAGGUGGGGACGACGUCAAAUCAUCAUGCCCUAUAUGUCCUGGGCAACACACGUACUACAAUGGUCGUAACAGAGAGAAACAAAGAAGCAAUUCGGAGUAAAACUAGAAAAGCGACCCCAGUUCGGAUUGAAGACUGAAACUCGUCUUCAUGAAGUUGGAAUUGCUAGUAAUGGCAGGUCAGCAUACUGCCGUGAAUACGUUCCCGGGC
rnacentral:rRNA from 1 species